UCAAAGAACAAUGAAAGCGAAGAUGCUGUUUUGCAGUCCAGGAAGCUGGAAGGGGUGUGGUGGAGCAAGUCUCGGGAAGGUCAGGCAGACCACCGCGGGGAGGCUGCCUCCCCCUGGGGAGCAGGCGUCCUGAGACUGUGCCUUGCCCAGGCCCAGGCUCCUCUUUGAGGCCUGGAGUGGGGAUCAUGGCUCUGAGAGCAUCGGGCAGGUUGUAGGAAGUGGAGCUCCAGCAGAGAGGAGCUGGCUUCUUCUUCCCAGUGUGGUUUUCACACAGUAACUUGGAGGAAGAGACACCAGAGAGCUUCCUGGUCUCUCUGCCACAUAAGAACAAGGUGGGAAGAUGACCAUCAGCAAGCCAGGAAGAGAAGCUUCACCAGGAACCAAAUCCUACUGGCACCUUGAUCUUGGAGCCUCCAGCCUACAGAACCAUGAGAAAAUUCAUGUCCAUGGUAUUGAGUAUGGCAGCCCAGGGAAAAUUGCGAAUCAAGGCUUUGCAAAAGGCCUGAAGUAGACAUUCACAUCAUCCAGCCAUUCACCCAGACAUGUAUUGACCAUGCUGAAAAUUUACCUUGAGCUUCUGCAUCAGGGUAUCUUUUGGGGGACCCCUUCCAAGUCCCUAAAGGAGCCCAUGAGAUGGAAGAGGCCAUUUUGCCAUCUGCCCAAAUCCUUCUGGCUUUCUCCCUCCCCAGAUUCCCUGCCAAAUUCUAGCUCUUGGUAUUUUUAAUCCAUUUCCCUCUUUCUGCCAUUGUUCACCCCCCGUCAUCCUAAGCCCUGUGCCUCUUCUUGUAUUAUCUGUCAUCCAGGUCUCCUAACUAGUCUCUGUCUCUAACCUUCUCUUCCAAUGGCUGCCAGCAUGUUUUCUCUUUCCCCCCAAAUCAACCCCCUGAUGUGACAGUCGCCCAUGACUCUCCAUUGCCAGUAUGGAGCCCAGAGCCCUCAGAAUGUCUGUGAAGCUCUUCAUCACCUCAUGCGUGCCCACCUUUCCGUUGUCAUCUCUAACACCUCUAGCCAGAACGCGCUAGGCUGCUCCACUCAUCCCAUCAGGCCCGUUUUGAAACAGGGACUCAAAGCCAGGUCUAUGCUGUGCGUUCUGUCAUGAAGGUGACUAGCUCCGGGAGUUCAUGGCUUGCGGGGAGGAAGAUGGCAGAGGAGAUAUCCUGGUAAGGUAAUGAGGUGAGUGCUUGG